CAAGUCGAACGGCAGCACGGGGCAACCUGGUGGCGAGUGGCGAACGGGUGAGUAAUAUAGUCGGAACGUGCCCAAUCGGUGGGGAUAACGUAGCGAAAGUUACGCUAAUACCGCAUACGAUCUACGGAUGAAAGCGGGGGAUCGCAAGACCUCGCGCGAAUGGAGCGGCCGAUAUCAGAUUAGGUAGUUGGUGGGGUAAAGGCUCACCAAGCCAACGAUCUGUAGCUGGUCUGAGAGGACGACCAGCCACACUGGAACUGAGACACGGUCCAGACUCCUACGGGAGGCAGCAGUGGGGAAUUUUGGACAAUGGGCGCAAGCCUGAUCCAGCCAUUCCGCGUGCAGGAUGAAGGCCUUCGGGUUGUAAACUGCUUUUGUACGGAACGAAACGGUCUGCCCUAAUACGGUGGGCUAAUGACGGUACCGUAAGAAUAAGCACCGGCUAACUACGUG
rnacentral:rRNA from 1 species